UACAGGGGGGCAAGCGUUGUUCGGAAUUACUGGGCGUAAAGGGUCUGUAGGUGGCCAACUAAGUCAGACGUGAAAUCCCUCAGCUUAAACUGGGGAACUGCGUCUGAUACUGGAUGGCUUGAGUGUGGGAGAGGAAUGCGGAAUUCCAGGUGUAGCGGUGAAAUGCGCAGAUAUCAGGAGGAACACCGGUGGCGAAGGCGGUUCUCUGGGCAUUACCUGACGUGGAGGAGCGAAAGUGUGGGGAGCGAACAGG
rnacentral:rRNA from 1 species